rnacentral:rRNA from 1 species
AUUGAACGCUGGCGGCAUGCUUUACACAUGCAAGUCGAACGGCAGCGCGGGCUUCGGCCUGGCGGCGAGUGGCGAACGGGUGAGUAAUACAUCGGAACGUGCCCAGUAGUGGGGGAUAGCUCGGCGAAAGCCGGAUUAAUACCGCAUACGACCUGAGGGUGAAAGCGGGGGAUCUGCGGACCUCGCGCUAUUGGAGCGGCCGAUGGCAGAUUAGCUAGUUGGUGGGGUAAAGGCCUACCAAGGCGACGAUCUGUAGCUGGUCUGAGAGGACGACCAGCCACACUGGGACUGAGACACGGCCCAGACUCCUACGGGAGGCAGCAGUGGGGAAUUUUGGACAAUGGGCGAAAGCCUGAUCCAGCAAUGCCGCGUGUGUGAUGAAGGCCUUCGGGUUGUAAAGCACUUUUGGCGGGAACGAAAAGGACUGUGCCAAUACCACGGUUCGAUGACGGUACCCGCAGAAUAAGCACCGGCUAACUACGUG